rnacentral:rRNA from 1 species
GAUGAACGCUAGCGAUAGGCUUAACACAUGCAAGUCGAGGGGCAGCAUGGUCUUAGCUUGCUAAGGCUGAUGGCGACCGGCGCACGGGUGCGUAACGCGUAUGCAACUUGCCUCACAGAGGGGGAUAACCCGUCGAAAGACGGACUAAUACCGCGUACACUCUAUGUUGGGCAUCCAAUGUAGAGGAAAUGAAAUUCGCUGUGAGAUAGGCAUGCGUCCCAUUAGCUAGUUGGUGAGGUAACGGCUCACCAAGGCGACGAUGGGUAGGGGAACUGAGAGGUUGAACCCCCACACUGGUACUGAGACACGGACCAGACUCCUACGGGAGGCAGCAGUGAGGAAUAGUGGUCAAGGGGCGAGAGCCUGAACCAGCCAAGUCGCGUGAAGGAUGACUGUCUUAUGGAUUGUAAACUUCUUUUAUACGGGAAUAACAAGAGUCACGUGUGGCUCCCUGCAUGUACCGUAUGAAUAAGCAUCGGCUAACUCCGUG